UCUUUUCAAACAAGUCUCUGUUUUGUUGGCCUCAUCUGCAGCUGGUGCUUCUACCGCUUUUACAGGAUCAUGUGUUGGAGCACCACAGAACAGACAAUACUGAAUGGCUCAUUAGCAAUGUGCUGUAUAGACUCUCAAAGAACAUCCUCAACUCCUGACAGACUGUUUAUUAUCCAGUGGGCCCAUGAAGAGAGGCAUCACACAGAAAUGUAAGACUACCAGACUACCGUUUUGGGUCAAGGCUGUAAAUGAAAAAAUCCAUAAAGACAAAGACCCUCAAAUUCAACGAAGCAUUUAAGUAAAUGAAUAAUGUAGUAAAUGA